rnacentral:rRNA from 1 species
GACGAACGCUGGCGGCGUGCCUAACACAUGCAAGUCGAGCGGGGAUUUAAGUGGAAGUUCUUCGGAAUGGAGAUUUAAAUUCUAGCGGCGGACGGGUGAGUAACGCGUGAACAAUCUGUCCCGGACAGGGGGAUAACACUUGGAAACAGGUGCUAAUACCGCAUAAGACCACGGCCUCGCAUGGGGCUGAGGUAAAAGGAGCAAUCCGGUUCGGGGUGAGUUCGCGUCCGAUUAGCUAGUUGGUGAGGUAACGGCCCACCAAGGCGACGAUCGGUAGCCGGCAUGAGAGGGUGAACGGCCACAUUGGAACUGAGAGACGGUCCAAACUCCUACGGGAGGCAGCAGUGGGGAAUAUUGGGCAAUGGGCGAAAGCCUGACCCAGCAACGCCGCGUGAGGGAAGAAGGUUUUCGGAUUGUAAACCUCUGUCCUAUGGGACGAAGGAAGUGACGGUACCAUAGGAGGAAGCCCCGGCUAACUACGUG